CCUACGGGAUGCAGCAGUGGGGAAUAUUGCACAAUGGGCGCAAGCCUGAUGCAGCCAUGCCGCGUGUAUGAAGAAGGCCUUCGGGUUGUAAAGUACUUUCAGCGGGGAGGAAGGCGAUAAGGUUAAUAACCCUGUCGAUUGACGUUACCCGCAGAAGAAGCACCGGCUAACUCCGUGCCAGCAGCCGCGGUAAUACGGAGGGUGCAAGCGUUAAUCGGAAUUACUGGGCGUAAAGCGCACGCAGGCGGUCUGUCAAGUCAGAUGUGAAAUCUCCGGGCUCAACCUGGGAACUGCAUUCGAAACUGGCAGGCUAGAGUCUUGUAGAGGGGGGUAGAAUUCCAGGUGUAGCGGUGAAAUGCGUAGAGAUCUGGAGGAAUACCGGUGCCGAAGGCGGCCCCCUGGACAAAGACUGACGCUCAGGUGCGAAAGCGUGGGGAGCAAACAGGAUUAGGUACCCCCGUAGUC
rnacentral:rRNA from 1 species